UCGUCGGUGGUGCAGUGGUAGCGUUCUUGGGUUCAAUUUUUUCACCCAGGUUCGAAUCCUGAUUGGUGAA